CACGUAGGGGCGAGCGUUGUCCGGAAUCAUUGGGCGUAAAGAGCUCGUAGGCGGCUCAGUAAGUCGGGUGUGAAACCCUCAGGCUCAACCUGGGGACGCCACCCGAUACUGCUGUGGCUAGAGUCCAGUAGGGGAGUGUGGAAUUCCCGGUGUGAGCGGUGAAAUGCGCAGAUAGUCGGGAGGAACACCAGCGGCGAAGGCGGCACUCUGGGCUGGAACUGACGCUGAGGAGCGAAAGCGUGGGUAGCAACAGG
rnacentral:rRNA from 1 species